ACUCCUACGGGAGGCAGCAGUGGGGAAUUUUGGACAAUGGACGCAAGUCUGAUCCAGCCAUUCCGCGUGCAGGAUGAAGGCCCUCGGGUUGUAAACUGCUUUUGUACGGAACGAAAAGGUUUCUAUUAAUAAUAGGAGCUCAUGACGGUACCGUAAGAAUAAGCACCGUCUUUCUACGUGCCAGCAGCCGCGGUAAUAC
rnacentral:rRNA from 1 species